rnacentral:lncRNA from 1 species
GGAAACUGGAUGUUCUCCUAAAACAGACCUUGGGAGAAAGCGCUUUCACCUCCUCACCACAGACACUCUCGACUGUGGACUCAGGACACUAAGCCAGAAAGGUGACGAUUUCCUUCUUGAACCCGGCCUGCAUCAGCAGCUCAGACCCAGGGCUCCGGGUCCUUUGCUCUAUGUCCAGUGCUCUUUUUGCUCCCUCACACACUUAGCGAUGGCAGUGUUCUUAGUAUACUCAAAGAGCUUUGUAAUGAAUUAGAGCAGCCAUUCCCAACCUUCCUAGUGCUGCGGUCCUUUAAUACAGUUUCUUAAGUUGUGGCGAACCAUCCCCCCCACCCCCAACCAUAACAUUAUUCUUGCUGCUGCUGUUAUGAAUCGUAAUGAAACAUUUGAUCUGCAGUACAUCUGAUAUGUGAUUCCCGAGAAAGGGCCAUCAUAUUCCAAGGGAUCGGGACCCACAGCGUGAGAAGCCCUGAACUAGAGAUCCGCCUAAACUGAGAAACAACCUAGCACCUAUCCCAGCCCAUCAAUGUUGUAUAUGGCAACAGAUUCAAAAGCCCAGACUAAAACAUACUCACCAUCCAUGUUACCAGCUCUCACCAUGGGGCAGCAAUGUGGAUUUAGUAAGCAUAGCCCACGGGCACUCAUUUUGAAGACACUAGGAGAACUUCAAAGCCAGGUUUGUUCUUCUGCCUCUGGUGACAUUUUUAAAAUUUCAGCACUGUUUUUUUUUUUAAUUGAUUCGUCGGUCCUUAUAUUUGCUUUAGGAACCUGACAAGACUGACUAGCCAUCUCUAGCAUUCAGAUGCUCUAUGACUACCAACAAUGUACCAGUGGUAUUCGUCUCUUGCAGAUCUGGAAGAAAAUGAAAUUUAGGUACAUACAGUCACGAACAGAUACCUAGAUGACACAUUUAAAACCCUCAAACACAGUGGAGAUGAGACCAGCAUAAUAUUAAGCUCUUCUCCCUCACAAACACCUGUGCUACCCACACUCACAGGCAAAAAAAAUAUAAUGUGAGCGAGCAGUCUCCUUCCUGCUGCUGCAGCUGCAAGCUGCUCCUGCCGCCCAUGCCUUCUCUACUGCCAUGCCUUCCCUACCACAAGGGCCAGAACUCUCACACUGAAAGCCAGAAUAAAUCCUUCCUCUCUUCGGUUGGUUGUUGUCAGGUAAUUGGUCCCAACCAUGGUAAAGCUUAGUGGAAAAGAAAAAAAAGGUAAAAAUCUAUUGUAGACUGAGUGCCCUGAAUCAGAAAACACACAGUCCAGCUGCUCUGAAAUCUAAGCAUCAUCGUGACACUACAAAGAGAAAACUCCAUAUCUGACCACACAUGAGAAUCUACUGAUGAAUACAACCAUGGGUUUACUAAAAAAAGGUGUAUAAAAUGAUCUUCAAGCUGCUCGUAUAAGAUAGGUAUGAAGUGUAAAUUGAAUUUUGGGUCUGACCCCCUAACAUAUUUUCCUGCGUGAAUACAAAUUCCCUCAAGUCCAAAUAACCCCACACUUGGGCGUUUCAGAUAGGGGAUACCCAAUCUGUAAGCCGUUUACUGCCAUAGAGAAGCUAUGAUGCAAGCAGAGCCUACUAACAACUUGGCCAAAACACUUCUAAUAACAGAACUUCACAUGGGUUUCCAUGAGGUCAGAAUGGAAGUAGGAGGAUACAUUGUUUGACGUCAUGGUAUCUGUCCAAUUAAGGUCUGUGUGAGCCUUCCAUCACCAUAACAAAACACAGAACAGAAUCAGCUUUUUAAGGGGGCUUAUUUUGGAUUAUGGUUGCAUAGGAAGAUAUAUAGAUAGGAUCUCCAUGCCAAUAUUUUUAAUGGGUGC